UACGUAGGGUGCGAGCGUUGUCCGGAAUUAUUGGGCGUAAAGAGCUCGUAGGCGGUUUGUCGCGUCUGCUGUGAAAACUCGGGGCUUAACUCCGGGCCUGCAGUGGGUACGGGCAGACUAGAGUGCGGUAGGGGAGACUGGAAUUCCUGGUGUAGCGGUGAAAUGCGCAGAUAUCAGGAGGAACACCGGUGGCGAAGGCGGCCUGCUGGGCUAUGGCUGACACUGAGGCGCGACAGCGUGGGGAGCAAACAGG
rnacentral:rRNA from 1 species